rnacentral:rRNA from 1 species
UACGUAGGGUGCAAGCGUUGUCCGGAAUUAUUGGGGGGUAAAGAGCUCGUAGGCGGUUUGUUGCGUCGGCUGUGAAAUCCCGAGGCUCAACCUCGGGUCUGCAGUCGAUACGAGCAAACUAGAGUGUUGCAGGGGGAGACUGGAAUUCCUGGGUGUAGCGGUGGAAUGCGCAGAUAUCAGGAGGAACACCGGUGGCGAAGGCGGGUCUCUGGGCAGUAACUGACGCUGGAGGAGCGAAAGCGUGGGGAGCGAACAGG